GGAGUGGUCCCCGAGCGGCUGCGGGCGGGUCCCGACUGGGGCCCGCCGCUGGCUCGGAGACCGGCUUGGGCCCCGCGCGUCACCUCGCUGGCCCCGAGGCAGUUCCUGCGGGCGGUCGCGGCUGAGGGGCUGCGGCCUCGGCCGCCGCCUCCACGGCCCUCCGAGGCGCGGGCCUUACCUGGGGACGCGUGGGGCCGCCCGGGCUCCUUCUAGAGACCGACCCUCGCGUCCGGACGCGGUCCCCGGAGGCGGCUGGCCCCGGUGCCGCCCUCGCGUCCCGCCGAGCGCCCGCUGCGGCGGCCCGGGGAGGAUCGCGGGCCCGCCUCGUGGCCAAGAAGCGCGAGUGACCUGCAGGCCCGAGGCGGGAGGCAUAUAUCGAGUACCUCCCAUGUGCCCUGCACUGUGCUAGUUUACUUGGAAGUACAGAGAGAAGCAUAUCCCCUGUCCUGAGGAACUCAGUGUAGUAGAG
rnacentral:lncRNA from 1 species